GACCCCGGAGAUCUCUCAAACACUGGACCACCAAACUGAUAGCAUACAUGAGCUAAUAUGAGGCACAGCACACAUACAGUAGAGGACUUCUGGGUCUGUGUUCAUUCAAAGAUAAUGCACUUAACCCUCAAGAGUCUGGAGGCCCCAGAGAAUUUUGAGACUGAGAAUGAUAUCUAAAGAAAGUAAAGAAGCGUUCAAAGCAAAAGAUUUGUUCUCCACUGCCUAAGAUUAGGAAUCCAGAAGGGGGAGCAUCAGUGUCCCAGGCACUGUGUGCCAAAGCAGUGACAACAUUCAAAGGAGAGAGUCUGAACCCAUGAUCAGGCCUUACAUGUAAGAUGCAAGAACAAGACAUUAAUAGGGAGUGCUGGAAGUGACUGAGCACGAAGGAUACUUAUUCUAUAUAGCAUGAUGCUCCCCAACCCCAAAAGCUUCAGAGAACCCUAUCAAAAGGAAUUUCUGACUUGUAUAGGUUUUCAGGGAGUGGUGAGAAAUUCCAUACCUCAUUAGUUCAUCUGGGUGAUAUUAUGU
rnacentral:lncRNA from 1 species